CAAAUUUCUCUCUCUCUAAAUCUGUAAAUAUGCUGCUAUUAUUGUUAUUUCAGAGCCUGUGAGGGUAAGUUGCAGACAGCAUGACCCUCUACCUCCAGAUGUGUCAGGGUGUGUCUCCUGGGCACAAGAACAGGGUUUUUGUUUUGUUUUGUUUCACAUAAGCAAAGUACAAGUCUCAAAGAGGAUAAUAUUUUUAAAUCAUCUUAUUGGGACAUACUUUGCAUGCAAUAAACUGCAUCUAUUUAAAAUGUUCAACUUGUUGAAUUUUAGCUGUUGUACACACCCACAUCUCCACUACCACAGUGAAGAUAAAGAAGAUUUUAAUCGUCUCCCAAAGAACAGCUACACGAUAAAAUUCUAUGUUGUCAUUAAAAAGAGUAAGAGCAAUUUUAAGUAUUGCUAUGAAAAGAUGUGCCCAGCAUACUUUUAACCUUUUUUAAAAGGUUAAGGAGGCUGGGCACAGUGGCUCAUACCUGUAAUCCCAGAACUUUGGGAGGCUAUGGCAGGCAGAUAACCUGAGGUCAGAAGUUCAAGAUCAGCCUGGCCAACAUGGUGAAACCCUGUCUCUACUGAAAAUGCAAAAAUUAGCCGGGCGUGGUGGUGGGUGCCUGUAGUUCCAGCUGUUUGGGAGGCUGAGGCAGGAGAAUCGCUUGAAUCUGGGAGGUAGAGGUUAGAGUGAGCCGAGAUCAUGCCACUGCAUUCCAGCCUGGGCGAAAAUGCCACUAAUAUCACUUACAUAAUAUUAAUAUAUAUUUGAAGUAGGGGAAAACCUGGAAGAUUCCUCACCAAAGUUUUGACAGUGACUCCAGAGACUGGGAUAACUUUGUGACUUUCAUUUCCUCUUAAAUGUUGUGCCAGGGUCUGACCGGCAGACCCAGGCUGCACGAUGGAUGAAUAAUGUACUCAGACACCGAUAUUCAGUGAAAGAGUGCACCAGAGGGCCAGGCCACUCACAGAAAGGGUUGUGGCAGCUGCGUGCCCUGACUAUCUGGCCCUGUGGGCCUUUAUUCAGCACAGAUUUAAUGACAAAGGCUUUGAGUCAACACACCUGUGGGUAAUUAAUCUGGUCGCAGUCCCCCGGAGAGAGCAGUCCUACAAAUGAUCAAAGACCUCACCUAACUUUCAGAUUCAGAUCCCAAUGACAGAGGAGGGGAGUCCAUAUCCCUAGGAGGAAGAACCCUGGAACACCCUGGGAGUAUAUGCUGGGUCAAUUCCCUGAACUCUUCUGCAAAGGAACCUACAGCCAUUUACACAGGAGACUGUACACCGGGAAAGGGAAAUAGGCAGAAUUUGGUUUCCUACCACGACCCAAUUAAACACAAAAGGAAGAUCCUGGCUAUGCGAGGAUGAUUCAGUGAUGGCCCCCACAUAACCACCCCUGGUGAUUCACCUUCCCCAGUUACUCAAUCAACACUACUGUAGGUGCCGCUGUGAAGGGAUUCUGCAGAUAUAAGCAAGGUCCCAAAUCAGUUGACUUUAAGACCAUGAUUAUCCUGCCUUGGACUGUCCUAAUCAGGUGAGCUCUUAAAACAACUUAUUUCUUCUUCAGCAAAGAGAUUCACAGUGUGAGCGAAAUUCAACGUGAGGGGCUUCCUCCGCUGUGAGCUUUGAAAAUGAAGGGGCCAUGUGGCAAAGGAUAUGACGGGCUCCAGGAAUUGAGAACAGCUCCACCCCACCUCCACCUGACAGCUGCCCAGGAACAAGGACUACAAUCCCACAACUGCCUGAAACUGAAUUCUGCCACCAAGCUCUGUAUAAGCUGGAAGGAGGACCCCAGCCUCAAGAUGAGGACACAGCUUCGUGAAAUCCUGAGCUGAGAAUCAUUCACACCAGGCCUGGAUUUCUCAUUAAGGAAAUGUAGAGAAAUAAAUGGGUGCUGUGUAGAGCCAGUGAGUUAGUGGUAAUAUGUUAUGCAGUAACAGAAAAUUCAUACAUAGACCAACAGAUAAGCAUAUAACAUUUUCUCGAUUGGAAUAAAUUAGUGAAUUGAAAUGUACACUCCUUGUAUAAGAUAAAAUCUUUCCUAAUUUUUUGUAUUCUUCAUUUUAUAAUGUUUAUGCAAUGCAAUUACAUUUUAAUACAAUCAUAUUCAUGAAUUC
rnacentral:lncRNA from 10 species